GGUAAUAGCUCAGUGGUAGAGCAUGGCUUAGCAUGUGCGAGGUCCUGGGUUCAAUCCCCAGUACCA
rnacentral:tRNA from 1 species